UUACUAGGCGUUAUCGCCACCUUUCGGAUGCGUUCGUAUCUCUUAGCGAUGGUUGGUAGCAACGCGCUCUCGUGCCGCGGACGAUCGCUUUCUUUUCUCCGAGACUCGCGACGCUUCACAUCGAGCUGUUUUGCAAAGACAAGAGCAUAAUCACAAACAAUAAAUGUGAGCUACUUUUACAACAAAAUCACCAUUAUUAAUUAAUCUAGUUCAUCUUGGACCGAGUAAGCAAGCGGAGAUACAUGCAAAUGGUUUCCCGCAGCCGUGAAUAUUGGUACGGCGAACAAAGAUUAUUCAGCAUUUACAUCUGGCUUUAUAUCACAGUAUCGUAGCACGCUUUGUGCAGUGAAGUGCCGCAAAUGUUUGAACGAUGGAUGGAGAUGAGGAAGAGACAGAAAGAGAGAAAGAGAGGAUCAAAUCUCUGAAUAUUAUUUGCAAGAGAAAGAGGAUUGGAAAGUUACCUUCCAUCGGACACAUUGGAUCGACUUUGUGGAUCAUGACAAUGUCGAUGUACGACAGUUGCAGCCUGACGAGUGAAGCUUGCACGGACUCGAUAAUGUGUUUCCGCGAUAGCCCGCGACCCUCGGUCCUAUUCAACAAUAGGCAGAUGUUAUCAAUCUUAUUAAAGGCUGCAAACGGAAUUAAAUAGUAGUAGAGAUCAUGAGAAAUAGACGAGAUGAGACGUGUACGGUGGCACGUUAUGAUGUUUCCUUGCAUUCUUCAUUAAAAUGCACGUUAUUGAACACGAAACAAUAACGACGAAUAACGACAGCUCGAUACCGUCUGAUGUAUGGGAACUUGGUUAUCGAUCCACGUGUCAAGGCAAAACUUCGUACCGUCCACUUGAUAUUAAACGAAGCCGUAUCGAGAUUCACUUUUGCACGAUUUGUCCCCUUAUUGAGUUUUAUAAUCUUAAAAUUAAAAACGGUGUAACUUACAAUCUACAAUAAAAUCAUUACCGAUUAAUU